UUUACAGCAAUGGCGGCUCGUGGAGCCUCUCAAUAGUUCCCGGAAGUAGCAGCAAACCGAUGCCAUGCCAUAGAGAUGCAGCAGAACAAACCGUUUGCGACGCACUUUUAAAAGGUGGAGGAUUAGUGGUGCCACUGGACUGUUCUGUGAUGGAGCAUCAGUGAGGAUGCAGACCCUGGUAACUGGCUGAUGGUUCACUGGAUUGCUGACUGACUU